UUUUAAAUAACCUUACAUUUAACAGUUUUGUAAAAUUAACACGAGGUGGCAGAUCAAUUAGUGUAUAGAAGUUUUACCCACGAUUUUUCGUGUAAAAGGUAUCUCAGACUAAUUUUAAUAUGUUUGCGUGAAAAUAGUCAAGCUUGACCUGGGUUUGCCCUGUCACAGAUUUAUUUAUUUAUUUUUUUUUUCUACUGAAAACAAUUGAAUUUACCACGAUGAGGGUUGUGGCUUUAAUAAGUGGUGGAAAAGACUCUAUUUUCAGUAUAAUGCAAUGCAUUGCUGCUGGUCAUGAAGUUGUGGCUUUAGCAAAUUUAUAUCCCGUUGGGAAAGAUGAGCUGGACUCAUUUAUGUAUCAAACAGUAGGGCAUCAGGGUAUAGAAUAUAUUGGAAAAGCCAUCGGGUUACGUCUAUAUCGAGAACCUACUUUUGGCAAAUCUUGUAUGACAGAAAAAUACUAUUCUCCUACUAAAGACGACGAAGUGGAGGACCUUUACCGAUUACUCACAAAAGUCAUGGAAAAAGAAAAUAUUGAUGCUGUUGCUUCAGGUGCUAUUCUUAGUGACUAUCAAAGAAUUCGAGUAGAGAAUGUAUGUAGUAGGUUAGGGCUUAUAUCACUUGCAUAUUUGUGGCGUCGAAAUCAAAAUGAAUUACUGAAAGAAAUGAUUGAAUGUUCAUUAAAUGCUGUAUUGAUAAAAGUAGCAUGCCAAGGUCUUGAGCCUAAACACCUGGGUAAAUCAAUAUCAGAAAUGCAACAUAAUUUAACUAUACUGAAUGACAUGUACGGGGUGAACGUGUGCGGAGAAGGAGGAGAAUAUGAAACAUUUACAUUAGACUGCCCGCUCUUCAGUAAAAGCAUUGUAAUAGACGAGUACGAGAGUGUUGUUCAAUCAAAUGAAAAAAUAGCUCCCGUUGGAUAUUUAAAUUUCAAGAAAAUUAAAUUACAAGACAAAGAAGGUGACUUAGAUAAUCUAACACUUCAAGAGAGACUUAAAAACAUUCCGAUUAAAACCCCUUAUGACUACAUUGCCGAAAUUGUCGGACCAGAAUUACAAGAUGGUUGUAAUCUCUCAGAUAGUGAUCAUGAAGAUAAAGAAUGCGACAAUAAAAGCAUAAAAUCAUCAAAUUCUGGGCCGUUAAAUCCACCAAGUCCAACUGAGAUAAAAUAUGAUAAUGAUGAUUAUCCUGAUAUUCCGAUUUCUAACAGAAAUCAGAAUGGAUGGUAUUGGUUUGGCGGAAUUACCAGUAAAAAUGAUGAUUCUCAGCAAGCAAUGGAGGAGGCUUUAGAUAAAUUAAGCAACCUAGUAAUGAAAGAGGAAAUAGAAAUGACAAAUAUUGUCGCAGUAACACUUUAUGUUCGGGAUAUGUCAAAAUAUCCGUUAAUAAACCAAGUUUAUGCCUCAAGAUUAGGCCAAGUUAAUCCACCAGCUCGUGUUUGUAUUGAGUGUCCUUUGAAUGUUCACGUAGUUCUCGAUGCAUUGGCCUAUAAAGAAGUUGAAAAAAGUAGUGAAGAAACAGUACCGAAGAGACACACUAUGCAUGUACAAAGUAUCAGUCACUGGUCUCCUGCAAAUAUUGGACCUUACUCGCAAGCUAUACGAGUAGGACAUAUAAUCGCAGUAGCGGGACAGAUUCCGCUGGUACCUGGUAAUUUAUCGAUACCUGAUUUAAAUAUCAAACGUCAAUGUCGUCUUUCCCUGAGACACAUUAAUAGAAUAGUCAAUGCAAUGGAUUCGUCAACUCAAUUAAGAGAUAUCGUUCAAGGUAUCUGUUUUUUAACUCACCCAAGUUAUAUAGCUGAAGCACGAAAAGAAUGGGAAAAACGUACAAAUAAUGCUAUUGUUGAUUAUAUUGUUGUACCUAAUCUUCCUCGUAACGCUCAUGUUGAAUGGUGCGUCUGGGCUCAUAGACAUAACAAUAGAUUUGAAUAUGAAGAAACUGGUAGAUGUGUUGGUAAUUUUAAAGUUGCAAUACGACGAAGAUGGAAUUACGAGAACGACGUUUCGGCAAUAGUUUGUUAUUUAUCGACGAGGUCGUCCAAUUCUACUGGAAACUUGGCAACGGAAACUUCUCUCAAUUCGCCUGAAUUAACUGACGCCGAAUUAAAUGAAGCUUUUGAAUAUUUAUUAGCGAAGCUGACGAAAGAAUCGCGGAAUGAAAAUCCAACGUGUAGUUUAAGAAUUUUUUAUAAAAUUGGUAGCUCACCUGCACCUUCUACAAUACAGAGGGUUCUUAGUAAUUUUUCAAGUAGAAAUCUAGUCACGACUAUGAUACCAACUAUUCACUUACAUAAUUUUAGUACUUUUUUGUCUGUUUGUGGUAUUAGACACGAAUAAGACAAAUGUGCUACUACCUCAUUCGUUGGUUCACUAUUGCAAAUAAUUAAAAAGCAUCCAUGCCGCAAGUGUAUUCAGCCAUAAUAUGAAUAAUUCUGCUUUAAUUGGCAAUUUUUUACAUCGAAAAGAAAAAAAAAAUAUCGAAAAAUUACUGUAUUGAUACAAAUGUUUAUAAAUGCAUACAUUAUUAUUUGUCAAUUUAUUGUACUGGAAUUUAAUUGACUGAAUAAUGAAUUUACAAAUAAAACGUCAAGAAACGAAAUUCUUCAUAAAAGUUGAUAAUAAGUUGCUGAAAUAUUUAAAAAAUUAAGUGAAAUCGAUAUAGAACUCUAAUGGAGCAAGUUUGGUAAAAAUAUUAAUUUUGAUUAUCAAUCUAAGUAAACUCAGAAUAAUUCCGAUGUAAAGUUACUAAAAUAAAAAAAAAAGACUAUAAAUAUAAUAAAUAAAAACAAGAGUUUUGAGAAA
rnacentral:misc_RNA from 1 species